GGGGACGUAGCUCAGCUGGGAGAGCGCGGGCUUUGCAAGCCUGAGGUCGUGGGUUCGAAUCCCAUCGUCUCCA
rnacentral:tRNA from 1 species